GGGCGUUUAGCGCAGUGGUAGCGCGUAUGCUUUGCAAUCACGUGAUUACAAAUGUAUCACGUGCACGACCAUGUAUAAGGUCCAGGGUUCAAUCCCCUGAACGUCCA
rnacentral:tRNA from 1 species